rnacentral:sRNA from 1 species
UGUUUGGUCUUCGAUCAGUGGUAAUGGG